CUGCCUCCAGUAAGCUGCAUGCUCUCCACAUGCCCUUAAAGCCACCCUGCAGAAGAUCUACUGUAUGGUGUAGUGGCAAAAGAGAGUGACAGAGAAUAUACAAUUCAGAACCGGACAAGUAGUCACUGAACAGACAGAAGGGAAAGUGCAACAGUAAGAGCUGAGGCAUGAAGUAUACCUUACAGUUUAGAAAUAUGUGAGCAUCCAUUACCGCAACUGACCUGCAAAACUACCUUUAGUAUCACUACUGAAAUGCGAGGAAGCAGAAUUUCCAGGUCACAGAACAGACAGCACUAGUCAUUCAGAGGCUGUUCUUUGGGGGU